rnacentral:ncRNA from 1 species
AUAGCUUUAGGGCUAGCCUCAUGCAAGUCUUACGGAGGUAGAGCACUGAAUUCCUAAGGGGGCGUCAAAGCUUACCAAGGGAUAUCAAACUCCGAAUGCCGUGUAGAUGAUGCAUGGGAGUCAGACGAUCCGAGAUAAGUUGGGUGGUCAAAAGGGAAAGAGCCCGGACCUGCAGCUAAGGCCCCAAAAUGUGUGUUAAGUGGAAAAGGAUGUGGGAUUUCAAAGACAACCAGGAUGUUGGCUCAGAAGCAGCCAUCCAUUAAAAGAGUGCGUAAUAGCUCACUGGUCGAGAGGUCCUGCGCCGAAAAUGUCCGGGGCUGAAACACACUGCCGAAGCUCAGGGAUGAACAGUGAUCAAUACAGAUCAAUGAAGAUGGAGGAAGCUUCCUGACGGAGUCAGGAAGAUCCCGCAUCAGAUGAAACAGACUGCGUUGGUCUGCAUUGAUCACUGUUCAUCGGUAGAGGAGCAUUGCUGACGGGAGGAAGCAGUACCGGAAGGAGCUGUGGACUGUCAGGAAGAGAGAAUGCCGGAAUGAGUAGCGAGAGGAAGGUGGGAAUCCUUCCGGCCGAAUAUCUAAGGUUUCCAGGGUAAAGCUGAUCUGCCCUGGGUAAGUCGGGGCCUAAGGCGAGGCCGAGAGGCGUAGCCGAUGGAUAACAGGUUGAAAUUCCUGUACUGUACUGUAACAGAACUGUGGGGACGCAGAAAGAGAGCGUGGGCCGGGAAUGGAAAGACCGGUGCAAGCGGGGUAGGAGUGUAUCAGGCAAAUCCGGUACACAAUCCGAAGACGUGACGCGGACCGAAAAGAAGUAGGGAAGCACGUGAGCUGGCUGCCAAGAAAAGCCGCUAUUGUUUGCAGUAUACCCGUACCGUAAACCGACACAGGUGGAUG